rnacentral:rRNA from 1 species
AACGAACGCUGGCGGCAUGCCUAACACAUGCAAGUCGAACGAGACCUUCGGGUCUAGUGGCGCACGGGUGCGUAACGCGUGGGAACCUGCCCUUAGGUUCGGAAUCACUCCCCGAAAGGGGUGCUAAUACCGGAUAAUGUCUUCGGACCAAAGAUUUAUCGACUUUGGAUGGGCCCGCGCUGGAUUAGCUAGUUGGUAGGGUAAAAGCCUACCAAGGCGACGAUCCAUAGCUGGUCUGAGAGGAUGAUCAGCCACACUGGGACUGAGACACGGCCCAGACUCCUACGGGAGGCAGCAGUGGGGAAUAUAGGACAAUGGGCGAAAGCCUGAUCCAGCAAUGCCGCGUGAGUGAUGAAGGCCUUAGGGUUGUAAAGCGCUUUUACCCGGGAUGAUAAUGACAGUACCGGGAGAAUAAGCACCGGCUAACUCCGUG